GAGUAUGAAAAGAGAGGAAGACAGCUGCUGGACAUGGAAACUUUUAAAUGCAUAAUGCAGCAGAGUAUGAGGUCACAAAAUAAAAAUACUGAACAAAUAGAACAACUUUUCAUGAAAAUAGACUAUGAAUCAAUGGGCAGAAUUCAAUGGGAUGGCUUCUGCACGUAUUUGCAGCUAGAGUAUUCAGAGCAAGUGGAUGCUUUGGCCCAAGAGAAAGAGGUUUCCUUCCAGCUGCCUGCUGCGCUGCAAGGGCUGUCAUAUGGGGGUCCCGUGCUGCGCAUUCUCUCUAUGCCUGACGACACCGUAAUCAUGAUCAGAGAAGAUGGAGCGAUUUAUUUCUGGUCCCUGCAGCUGAAGUUGAAAAGAAGAAAGAGAGUUUUUGACAAGUCCAUGAGUUGGAAGCCCAGGUCGAUGACAGAUGUCAUCGGCAUGCCACAGUACAACAAACUGAUCAUAGGGACUAGAAACCGUGAAAUCCAGCUAUGUGAAUUCUCCAACUGGGAGCCUUACUGUCAGAUCAGUGGCUUAGAAGGUGUUCCUCUGAAACUGGACUACUGGUAA
rnacentral:lncRNA from 1 species